GGCCGGUUAGCUCAGUCAGUAGAGCGUAGCGCUAACAACACUAAGGUCGUGGGUUCGUUUCCCAUUCGGUCC
rnacentral:tRNA from 1 species